ensembl:lncRNA
GUUUUUUUUUUUUCAUUUAAAUUGCCGUUAUCCUUGAAUGCCACCUUGUGGAUUAAGAUAGUAAAGGUAAAUGCUAUUGCUAUGUUCAGUUUAAAAUCAGAAUGGGAAUUCUCAGCUUCACACUUGAAUAUUCCCAGUAACACCCAACAUUUUGAAAUACCAAUUUCAGCACAUCAUGACCCAGGACUUGUACUGUAUCUCUUAUCCCCUCACCUCAUGUGAGUCCAUACCAUCUCUCUAAACUCUGACAGGUGUCUGUGUUUCCUACUCAGAAUCUGGAGAGAACACAGAAGCGGGCUUGGUGCAUUAUCCUUGGACCAUCAAACAGCAUCUAUACAUCAGCACUCAAUCUGACCGCUGAGAGAACGUGGCAACUGAACUCUGCGUCCAGCUUGCCCAUCAUCACCUCCAAUCUGACAACAGCAACCUGCUGCCACAACCACCAGAGGUCGUAACUCCCUCAUUACGGAUGCACACGCUUUCUCUCACACGCUUGACUUGGAGGAGUCAACUAAAACCGUGCAGAAAAUGAUUUCACACCCCAACAAUACAUUGUCACAACUGGCCCUAGAAGCUGGCCUGACCUUAUCGGUUUAAGGACAAUGGUUUUUGCUCUGAGCUAAAUGUUAGACGUGUGUACUUCUACCGCGCAUCUCAUAGUGCCGCGCUGCGCCGCAUAGUGAUGGGUGGACCGAAGGCAGCGCUCGCCGAGACUCAUCCCUAAAAAAAGCUCAAUGCCUCUUCCUCGGAGCCGCCGACAGCAGGCGAGACCCGUGGACCGCUUCAUUAACUGUCCAGACACGGAUUGAUUGAUCAGAUGUCUUGUUCACGACCGAAACUUCAACUAUGCAUUCACUGGAAACGCAAAUGGCUCCCAGUUUGAGGAGUGCGCGGAGAGAUUUCACCAAACUGCAUGCCUGCGGCGCGGCGGCUGGAGACGGGCGCUCACCGGGAUGGAUAAGAGUGCGAGAAGCAGGGUGGUAUCGGAGAACCAGGAGAAGAGAUGGAGCAGAAGGGAUGUCUGCAAACUGUCUGUUAUACAUAGGAAUGGUCUUACUUCUGUUGCAGUGUGCGCAGGCCACAGAGGAUGAGACAAACUACGACGCCUCUGGUUCUUCUGAUGUACCCAAUGACACAACAGCCUCCGCCCAUCCCAUUCACCCAUUGGCCGGCUUGCUGUUGGUGGAUGAGGAGCCUUUAUCAGUCGUCCAACCAGAUGGCAGGGCUGUGUCAGAGGGGGUGGGCCUGAGAGAGCAGCCUGCCUUCUCCUCCAUACUGACCCUGCUGGCGGAUAAACACCCACUGAGCUUGGUCCGAUCCAAGACCUCGCCAACCAUCAUCAAGGACAACAACCAAACCAGCCUGUGGCCUUCGGUUGCUCCCUUCUCUUCUUCUUCUUCUUCUGUGGAGCCGAGCAGAGACCUGUCUGACAGCUCAGAGACAGCGAUGGAGGAGUUAACUGUGGGAACAUCCAGAGAGACAGGGGUUAAUUUCCCCAAAGACAACGAGACCAGAUUAUCCCAAACAGGGAACCUCACCUUAGCCGACAGGCCUGCACUCACAACAUCACAGGUGUCACCUUUGACCCCUCGAGAGGACACAACGACUGCAUCCCUCCAGCUCACGACCGUGACCACCACAACCAUAGCUUCCACCACAACCACAACACAGCCAAUCACAGAGAGCCCAACCACGACAACAACACGCAGAACCACCACUGCUCCAGCCUCCAGGAGAACACUGUCACCUCCAAUCCCAAAGACCAAACCCAGAGGGACGACCACCCCGUUCCCCUUCACCACCACCACGGAGGCUCCACCCCGGCAGUGCAACGUCACAGAGAAGAUCUGGGUUAAAACAAGUAAGAGACACAGAAAAAAGAAUGAACCUUUUCUCAACAGGUUGUUACAUUGUUGGUCGUAGUUGGGG